rnacentral:rRNA from 1 species
CAAUAGCGUAUAUUAAAGUUGUUGCAGUUAAAAAGCUCGUAGUUGGAUUUCGGGGUGGCCUGGCUGGUCCGCCGCAAGGUGAGUACUGGUCAGCCGCCCUUCCUCUCGAAAGCCCCGACUGCUCUUUACUGCAGUGGUCGGGUAGUUCGGGACGUUUACUUUGAAAAAAUUAGAGUGUUCAAGGCAGGCUAUCGCCUGAAUACAUUAGCAUGGAAUAAUGGAGGAGGACCUCGGUCCUAUUUUGUUGGUUUCUAGGGCCGAAGUAAUGAUUAAGAGGGACAGUUGGGGGCAUUCGUAUUUAAUUGUCAGAGGUGAAAUUCUUGGAUUUAUGAAAGACGAACUAGUGCGAAAGCAUUUGCCAAGGAUGUUUUCAUUAA